rnacentral:rRNA from 1 species
ACACUCCUCCGGGAGGCAGCAGUGGGGAAUUUUGGACAAUGGGCGAAAGCCUGAUCCAGCAAUGCCGCGUGAGUGAAGAAGGCCUUCGGGUUGUAAAGCUCUUUUGUCAGGGAAGAAACGGUGAGAGCUAAUAUCUUUUGCUAAUGACGGUACCUGAAGAAUAAGCACCGGCUAACUACGUGCCAGCAGCCGCGGUAAUACGUAGGGUGCAAGCGUUAAUCGGAAUUACUGGGCGUAAAGCGUGCGCAGGCGGUUUUGUAAGUCUGAUGUGAAAUCCCCGGGCUCAACCUGGGAAUUGCAUUGGAGACUGCAAGGCUAGAAUCUGGCAGAGGGGGGUAGAAUUCCACGUGUAGCAGUGAAAUGCGUAGAUAUGUGGAGGAACACCGAUGGCGAAGGCAGCCCCCUGGGUCAAGAUUGACGCUCAUGCACGAAAGCGUGGGGAGCAAACAGGAUUAGAUACCCCGGUAGUCCCAU